rnacentral:rRNA from 1 species
UGAACGCUAGCUACAGGCUUAACACAUGCAAGUCGAGGGGCAGCAUGGUCUUAGCUUGCUAAGGCCGAUGGCGACCGGCGCACGGGUGAGUAACACGUAUCCAACCUGCCGUCUACUCUUGGACAGCCUUCUGAAAGGAAGAUUAAUACAAGAUGGCAUCAUGAGUCCGCAUGUUCACAUGAUUAAAGGUAUUCCGGUAGACGAUGGGGAUGCGUUCCAUUAGAUAGUAGGCGGGGUAACGGCCCACCUAGUCUUCGAUGGAUAGGGGUUCUGAGAGGAAGGUCCCCCACAUUGGAACUGAGACACGGACCAAACUCCUACGGGAGGCAGCAGUGAGGAAUAUUGGUCAAUGGCCGAGAGGCUGAACCAGCCAAGUCGCGUGAAGGAUGAAGGAUCUAUGGUUUGUAAACUUCUUUUAUAGGGGAAUAAAGUGUGGGACGUGUCCCAUUUUGUAUGUACCCUAUGAAUAAGCAUCGGCUAACUCCGUGCCAGCAGCCGCGGUAAUACGGAGGAUGCGAGCGUUAUCCGGAUUUAUUGGGUUUAAAGGGUGCGUAGGUGGUAAUUUAAGUCAGCGGUGAAAGUUUGUGGCUCAACCAUAAAAUUGCCGUUGAAACUGGGUUACUUGAGUGUGUUUGAGGUAGGCGGAAUGCGUGGUGUAGCGGUGAAAUGCAUAGAUAUCACGCAGAACUCCAAUUGCGAAGGCAGCUUACUAAACCAUAACUGAC